rnacentral:rRNA from 1 species
GGGAAUCUUCCACAAUGGACGCAAGUCUGAUGGAGCAACGCCGCGUGAGUGAAGAAGGUUUUCGGAUCGUAAAGCUCUGUUGUUGGUGAAGAAGGAUAGAGGUAGUAACUGGCCUUUAUUUGACGGUAAUCAACCAGAAAGUCACGGCUAACUACGUGCCAGCAGCCGCGGUAAUACGUAGGUGGCAAGCGUUGUCCGGAUUUAUUGGGCGUAAAGCGAGCGCAGGCGGAAGAAUAAGUCUGAUGUGAAAGCCCUCGGCUUAACCGAGGAACUGCAUCGGAAACUGUUUUUCUUGAGUGCAGAAGAGGAGAGUGGAACUCCAUGUGUAGCGGUGGAAUGCGUAGAUAUAUGGAAGAACACCAGUGGCGAAGGCGGCUCUCUGGUCUGCAACUGACGCUGAGGCUCGAAAGCAUGGGUAGCGAACA